rnacentral:snoRNA from 1 species
AAAAGAAGGAAGCAUGGUAGUGUGCACGGAGAUUAGCUGGUCUGCAUGUCUGCUCGACGUGACGCCUUCGGGCUUUGAUCGUGCGGGCCUGGAUUCGACCCACAUUU